CAAGCGGCGGAGCAUGUUGCUUAAUUCGAGGCAACGCGAAGAACCUUACCUGGGCUUGACAUGCAGGGAAAAGCCGUAGAGAUACGGUGUCCUUCGGGGCCUUGCACAGGUGGUGCAUGGCUGUCGUCAGCUCGUGUCGUGAGAUGUUGGGUUAAGUCCCGCAACGAGCGCAACCCUUGUCCUGUGUUGCUACCGGGUAAUGCCGGGCACUCUCAGGAGACUGCCGGGGUCAACUCGGAGGAAGGUGGGGAUGACGUCAAGUCAUCAUGCCCCUUAUGUCCAGGGCUGCAAACAUGCUACAAUGGCCGGUACAACGGGCUGCUACCCCGCGAGGGGACGCGAAUCCCUUAAAGCCGGUCUCAGUUCGGAUUGGAGUCUGCAACUCGACUCCAUGAAGUCGGAGUCGCUAGUAAUCCCGGAUCAGCCACGCCGGGGUGAAUACGUUCCCGGGCCUUGUACACACCGCCCGUCACACCACGAAAGUCGGUAACACCCGAAGCCGGUGGCCCAACCCUUGUGGAGGGAGCCGUCGAAGGUGGGAUCGGCGAUUGGGGUGAAGUCGU
rnacentral:rRNA from 1 species